CUGCUACGCAUGCAGUCGAACGAUGAAGCUGGUGCUUGCACUGGUGGAUUAGUGGCGAACGGGUGAGUAACACGUGAGUAACCUGCCCCUGGCUCUGGGAUAACUGCUGGAAACGGUAGCUAAUACUGGAUAUGAACCGUACGGGCAUCUGUUGCGGUUGGAAAGAUUUUUCGGUUGGGGAUGGGCUCGCGGCCUAUCAGUUUGUUGGUGGGGUAGUGGCCUACCAAGACGACGACGGGUAGCCGGCCUGAGAGGGUGACCGGCCACAUUGGGACUGAGACACGGCCCAGACUCCUACGGGAGGCAGCAGUGGGGAAUAUUGCACAAUGGGGGAAACCCUGAUGCAGCAACGCCGCGUGAGGGAUGACGGCCUUCGGGUUGUAAACCUCUUUUGGCAGGGAAGAAGCGAGAGUGACGGUACCUGCAGAAAAAGCGCCGGCUAACUACGUGCCAGCAGCCGCGGUAAUACGUAGGGCGCGAGCGUUGUCCGGAAUCAUUGGGCGUAAAGAGCUCGUAGGCGGUUUGUCGCGUCUGCUGUGAAAGCCUGGGGCUCAACUCCGGGAUUGCAGUGGGUACGGGCAGACUAGAGUGCGGUAGGGGAGACUGGAAUUCCUGGUGUAGCGGUGGAAUGCGCAGAUAUCAGGAAGAACACCGAUGGCGAAGGCAGGUCUCUGGGCCGUUACUGACGCUGAGGAGCGAAAGCAUGGGGAGCGAACAGGAUUAGAUACCCUGGUAGUCCAUGCCGUAAACGUUGGGUGCUAGACGUGGGGGC
rnacentral:rRNA from 1 species